UACGUAGGGUGCGAGCGUUAAUCGGAGUUACUGGGCGUAAAGCGCGCGCAGGCGGCGGUGUUGGCCCGGCGUGAAAGCCCCCGGCUCAACCGGGGAGGGUCGUCGGGGACCGCACCGCUUGAGGGCGGUAGGGGCUGGUGGAAUGCCUGGUGUAGUGGUGAAAUGCGUAGAGAUCAGGCGGAACACCCGUGGCGAAGGCGGCCAGCUGGGCCGUCCCUGACGCUGAGGCGCGAAGGCGUGGGGAGCGAACGGG
rnacentral:rRNA from 1 species